ensembl:snoRNA
UGAUGGCGGUUCCUCUCACUGCUUGGAGCCUUAGGUAGUGGGAUUUCAGUCCAUCAUAUAUCUAAGCUGACUUGUCUUCACUCAGGACAGCAAGGGGAUGGGUUGGCUGUCCCACUUAGCGCCUCUGAUUUUUGUGGAGUCAAACAAUU